CUAUUGAAGAAGAAGGAACAUACAGAGCUGCUAGUAGCCAUUGUUCAGUCUCCUAGCCAGGAUCUCGAGUUCCUUUUACAUCACAAGGAAUUCAAUGCACUGAGGCCACAUGAAUGGUUAUUUGGAGAGACUAUUGAGUGCUAUUUCAGAGCUGUACUUAAUAAGGAGGAUGCAAAUCUCUACCAGCUAAGCCAUUACACCACAGGUGUCAUUUUAAAUGGCACAAGAGAGCAGAUGGAACAGCAAGGAUUUUGAAAAGUCAACUUAGAGCAAUAUGAUGGGGUCAUCACUUUUGUCAAUAUCACUAAAAAUCACUGGAGGUUUGUGUUUGUAUAUGCUCAGACUGACACCCUUUUCGUGCUUGACUCUCUGAGUGGUACAAAUGAAAUGAAACGAAAAGGCAUGCCAAAAAUUCGGGUAUGAUAGUCUGUUUUAAAAAAAGAUAUUUAGCAUGUGUAGAUCCAAAACAGUAAUAAUGGAAACUAAGCAAAGUUCAUGUUGUGUAAGACUACCAUA